rnacentral:rRNA from 1 species
CCCACGGGAGGCAGCAGUGGGGAAUCUUGCGCAAUGGGCGAAAGCCUGAUCUAGCAACGCCGCGUGGACGAUGAAGGCCUUCGGGUCGUAAAGUCCUUUUCUGUGGGAAGAUCGUGACGGUACCACAGGAAUAAGCAUCGGCUAACUACGUGCCAGCAGCCGCGGUAAUACGUAGGAUGCAAGCGUUGUCCGGAUUUAUUGGGCGUAAAGAGUGCGUAGGCGGCUUCUUAAGUGGGGCGUGAAAUCCCCCGGCUAAACCGGGGAGGGUCGUCCUAAACUGGGGGGCUGGAGGGUAGAAGAAGAGAGCGAAAUUCCCGGUGUAGGGGUAAAAUGCGUAGAUAUCGGGAGGAACAC